CCUACGGGGGGCAGCAGUGAGGAAUAUUGCGCAAUGGGGGAAACCCUGACGCAGCGACGCCGCGUGAGUGAGGAAGGCCUUCGGGUCGUAAAGCUCUGUCAAGAGGAAAGAAGUGUACAAUGGCUAAUACCUGUUGUAUUUGACGGUACCUCUAAAGGAAGCACCGGCUAACUCCGUGCCAGCAGCCGCGGUAAUACGGAGGGUGCAAGCGUUGUUCGGAAUCACUGGGCGUAAAGGGCGCGUAGGCGGCUUGGUAGGUCAGAUGUGAAAGCCCACGGCUUAACUGUGGAAGUGCAUUUGAAACUGUCAGGCUUGAGUACCAGAGGGGAAAGUGGAAUUCCCGGUGUAGAGGUGAAAUUCGUAGAUAUCGGGAGGAAUACCGGUGGCGAAGGCGGAGUACUAGACCAUAGUUGACGCUGAGGCACGAAAGCGUGGGGGUCAAACAGGAUUAGAUACCCGAGUAG
rnacentral:rRNA from 1 species